UACGUAGGGGGCAAACGUUAUCCGGAGUUACUGGGCGUAAAGGGCGUGUAGGUGGUAGUGUAAGUCUGGCGUGAAAUUUUUCGGCUUAACCGGGAAAGGUCGUCGGAUACUGCACAACUAGAGGACGGUAGAGGCGUGUGGAAUUCCGGGUGUAGUGGUGAAAUGCGUAGAGAUCCGGAGGAACACCAGUGGCGAAGGCGACACGCUGGGCCGUACCUGACACUGAUGCGCGACAGCAUGGGGAGCAAACAGG
rnacentral:rRNA from 1 species